AACGAACGCUGGCGGCAGGCUUAACACAUGCAAGUCGAACGGGCACCUUCGGGUGUCAGUGGCAGACGGGUGAGUAACGCGUGGGAACGUACCCUUCGGUUCGGAAUAACCCAGGGAAACUUGGGCUAAUACCGGAUACGUCCGUAAGGAGAAAGAUUUAUUGCCGAAGGAUCGGCCCGCGUCGGAUUAGCUAGUUGGUGGGGUAAUGGCCCACCAAGGCGACGAUCCGUAGCUGGUCUGAGAGGAUGAUCAGCCACACUGGGACUGAGACACGGCCCAGACUCCUACGGGAGGCAGCAGUGGGGAAUAUUGGACAAUGGGCGAAAGCCUGAUCCAGCCAUGCCGCGUGAGUGAAGAAGGCCUUAGGGUUGUAAAGCUCUUUCAGCGGGGAAGAUAAUGACGGUACCCGCAGAAGAAGUCCCGGCUAACUUCGUG
rnacentral:rRNA from 1 species